rnacentral:rRNA from 1 species
AGUGAACGCUGGCGGUAGGCCUAAUACAUGCAAGUCGAACGGCAGCACAGUAAGAGCUUGCUCUUACGGGUGGCGAGUGGCGGACGGGUGAGGAAUACAUCGGAAUCUACUUUUUCGUGGGGGAUAACGUAGGGAAACUUACGCUAAUACCGCAUACGACCUACGGGUGAAGGCAGGGGAUCUUCGGACCUUGCGCGAUUGAAUGAGCCGAUGUCGGAUUAGCUAGUUGGCGGGGUAAAGGCCCACCAAGGCGACGAUCCGUAGCUGGUCUGAGAGGAUGAUCAGCCACACUGGAACUGAGACACGGUCCAGACUCCUACGGGAGGCAGCAGUGGGGAAUAUUGGACGAUGGGCGCAAGCCUGAUCCAGCCAUACCGCGUGGGUGAAGAAGGCCUUCGGGUUGUAAAGCCCUUUUGUUGGGAAAGAAAAGCAGCAGGUUAAUACCCCGCUGUUCUGACGGUACCCAAAGAAUAAGCACCGGCUAACUUCGUG